rnacentral:rRNA from 1 species
CGUNAGAUGUUGGGUUAAGUCCCGCAACGAGCGCAACCCCUGCAUCCAGUUGCCAUCGGGCAAGCCGGGCACUCUGGAAGGACUGCCGGCGACAAGCCGGAGGAAGGUGGGGACGACGUCAAGUCAUCAUGGCCCUUAUGUCCAGGGCGACACACGUGCUACAAUGGCCGGCACAGCGGGAAGCGGAGGGGCGACCCUGAGCGGAUCCCUGCAAAGCCGGUCCCAGUUCGGAUUGCAGUCUGCAACUCGACUGCAUGAAGUUGGAAUCGCUAGUAAUCGCGGAUCAGCCAAGCCGCGGUGAAUACGUUCCCGGGCCUUGUACACACCGCCCGU